UUUAGUUUGUGUAUAUGAGUUCUAAAUAUGAGUAGUAGCUACUAAUUCAUUUCAUAAACAACCCCUAAUUCAAUCUGUUUCAUAAACAAUAUCCAACUAAACAGAAAGUAGAAUAAGAACUCAAAAAAUCCAGCAUUCAAUAUUCAAUAUCCAGCUACCAUCCAAGACAAACUAAUAAAAGAAAUUAACCCUUAGUUAUCAAGAUGCUGUAAAACGGGACACGGAAAAUGCACCUGAUGCUAAGAGGGAGUUUAUCUGAGAUUUGAGACUUUUAACAUCACUAGUGACAAGUAUUCCUUAUUUAUCAUCAAUCGACUGAUUUUGAAUGAAUUCCUCCAAGAAUCGUUUGAGAGUAUCCUGUAAAAAAAAAUACAAUUAUUAUAAAAGUAAAUUUUAUUAAAGAAAAUUUAUGCAAGUAUCUUUAUUUUUCAAACUUUAAAUUAAAACAUACGGAAAGAUAAAAAGCUAAGCAGUCUGGCUGGACUUAAUCAUUUUAAUACUAUGUUUCAAAAAUAUCUAAUGUAUGAAACUUAUUCGCAUAUAGAUAAUGUAUCGGUACUUCUAAUGGGAAGAAAUUACUAUACCAUCUUUUUUGUAAAAAUUAAUACUCAUAAGCCAACUAAUAGGCACCACUAGCAUCUGCUUUCAAUUAGAUUCUAUCACCUUCAAUUUCUUUUUUUUAAUAAGGUAAAGAGUACAAAGUAAAUCACCUUCAAUUUCUAAAGAACCAAACACCUAUAAACAAAAAAAAUUAAAUGAAAAUGUUAAGCUAGGACUGUAGCACCUCCCUAGGGAGGUUGCCGCUAACUAAAAAAUAACUAAGCUAACCUAUAAGCAAUUAUUAUUUGAAACUAAUUUAAACAUAUUAUUAUCAUAAUCUAUUAGCGAAAAUAGGCCCAUGUGAAUAAGGUUCAAAAUAUGACAUUUCAACAUAGUAAAAUCUCAUAAAAUUCUUAAAAGUACGAGAAUAUUACUUUUAAAAAUAGUGAGCAGAAUCUAUUGAAUUAAAUCAAUACCUUAAGUUGUAUCAGAUAAUUAUCUGUAAUUCAAGAAAAAAGAAACAAGCUCGUUUAUAAUGUUUUCCUCAAUAACUAAUACACUUGUUUGUAAAUUAUAUUUAUUAUUUAAAACCCUCAAUUCAAGAUAGAACUCAUGGUCAAUAGGGCACACCUCUUAGUGCCUUGCCUACACUGAAGCAUAUCUUAAGCGAGGUAAAGCUCCCUUCCGGAGCUGUUCUGAGCUUUGAAUCCUAAGCGUGCCUUAAAUGAGCCCUUGACAAUAUUGAUAACUAGUAGAGGAAUAUUUUUUAAAAUACUACAACAUUCAACAUUCUAAGCAUGGAAUUUAAUUCUUAAUCUCAAAUACAAACAAGUUAAGUCUCUAAGUUUAAUGCAAGUACCAUAUUAAACAUAUCACAAGAUUUGGACAAAUACUAUGCCAAUAUAGUCGAAUCAUUCACAAAUCAAUUACCAAUUCUAAUAUCUCUUUAACUCAACUACAAAACUUAACCCUCAAUGGUAGACAAAUAAUCUGGGCAGCAGCUCUGCCCUGUAUUGCAGCAGAUUUUUGAGGCAGUAAAUCACAGAACUGGACAUCUUGGUCUUUAUAAUAAUUGUAGAUAUAUCUCUUAUCUUUUUACAGCCUUUUAAAUCACCCCAAUCCGAUUUUUAGAGAAAGAGUUAUGCCCAAAAGAGUAACUGCUGUACAAUUUAAAAACGGGAUUAAAUUUCUGAUUUUAAAUGACUAAAAUUCACCAUGCAAAAGAUAUACUAAUUCACAUAUAGAUAGAGUAAGAAACUUACUGCAAGUUUGAGAGAGUUUCUCCACAAAAUCCAAAACCUAGGGUUUCCAAAAUAAGCUCAUUCCAUCUUGAUUCUUGAAGGUAAAAUCCAGAUCUUCCUUCAAUAGGUAAGUAAAUAGGUUUUAAUAUUUUAAAACUUAAAUUUUAAUGAUGGAAAAAGAAUUGCAUGUAUAUGUGUUGAGCUCUUCAAUGGUGUUUGAUAGAUGAAGAAGGAGGAUAAGACUUUGAGAGAGUAGGGGGGGGGGGGGGAGGGGGCAAACGAAUCCCCCAAAGAAAAAAUCCUAGAAAGUUCUUUCUAUCUAGGGUUAAAAGAUUAUGCUUUACAAAUUUACAC
rnacentral:lncRNA from 1 species